AACGAACGCCGGCGGCAGGCUUAACACAUGCAAGUAGAGCGCCCCGCAAGGGGAGCGGCAGACGGGUGAGUAACGCGUGGGAAUCUACCCAUCUCUACGGAAUAACGCAUGGAAACGUGUGCUAAUACCGUAUACGUCCUUCGGGAGAAAGAUUUAUCGGAGAUGGAUGAGCCCGCGUUGGAUUAGCUAGUUGGUGGGGUAAAGGCCUACCAAGGCGACGAUCCAUAGUUGGUCUGAGAGGAUGAUCAGCCACACUGGGACUGAGACACGGCCCAGACUCCUACGGGAGGCAGCAGUGGGGAAUAUUGGACAAUGGGCGCAAGCCUGAUCCAGCCAUGCUGCGUGAGUGAUGAAGGCCCUAGGGUUGUAAAGCUCUUUCACCGGUGAAGAUAAUGACGGUAACCGGAGAGGAAGCCCCGGCUAACUUCGUGCCAGCAGCCGCAGUAAGAC
rnacentral:rRNA from 1 species